rfam:Ornithorhynchus anatinus chromosome 18, whole genome shotgun sequence.
AGCAGCAUGGCUCAGUGGAAAGAGCCUGGGCUUGGAAGUCAGAGGUCAUGGGUUCUAAUCCCGGUUCCGCCA